rnacentral:rRNA from 1 species
CCUACGGGUGGCUGCAGUGGGGAAUAUUGGUCAAUGGACGCAAGUCUGAACCAGCCAUGCCGCGUGCAGGAAGACGGCUCUAUGAGUUGUAAACUGCUUUUGUAGGAGGGAAAACGCAUAUACGCGUAUCUGUCUGAAAGUAUCGUACGAAUAAGGAUCGGCUAACUCCGUGGCAGCAGCCGCGGUAAUCCGGAGGAUUCAAGCGUUAUCCGGAUUUAGUGGGGUGAAAGGGUGCGUAGGCGGUCGGAUAAGUUAGAGGUGAAAUUCCGAGGCUUAACUUCGGAAUUGCCUCUGAUACUGUGCGGCUAGAGAGUAGUAGCGGUAGACGGAAUGUAUGGUGUAGCGGUGAAAUGCGUAGAGAUCA